rnacentral:lncRNA from 1 species
UUUUUUUCCAGUAAUCUGUGUUGAUGAUCCAUUACAUUAUCAAAAGGCCAUUUAUGCAUGAGCAUGAAUCUGUUGCUGGAUUCUCUUCUGUUCCCAUUUGGUUUGUCUACCCUGGGCCAACCCCACACCCGUUAGUAGAUUUCUUCUUCUUCUCCACUCCCUCUACUUUCUUUUCCCUAAUAUCACAGUCUUUAGCCAAGUCCAUUAUAUUUUCAUUAUGUGAAUGAGGUUUUGGAGGAAACUCAUGGCUCUGUUGUGAAUUUCCCAUUUAAGUCAAUGGCUUGGGGCAAAAGAGAAAUAUGCAAAGAAAUGAGUGUUUGGGUACAGGAACUUAGGAAAACAUAACCCACUGCAAAUCCAAUGUAAUAUUAUAAAGGGCUUCAUGCUUUUCCCAUAUGGCAGGGGUUAAGGCAAAUCUUAAAUAAGCAUCUAGGGUCUGAUUAACUUAUAUCACACUUGGGUUAACUGGAUUUAUGGAAAUCUUCCUUUAGCUGCUUUAGACGGAGUUGUCUAACCGUCAUUAUUAGCAUGUUGUCCUAAAACAUUUGGAUGUUAAAAAACAAAACAAAACAAAACAAAAAAACAUUUGGAUGUUGAACUCAACUUUAUUUCACUAUUACAGACUCAUUUCUCUUUUAAUAUUUUUAUUCACUGCUAUCUGCUCAGGUUAAUGGUGAGCACAUAUAUAGAGAGGUACCUGUCUUUGAGUAAAUAUUAUAUAUAUAUUAUAUAUUAUAAAAUUAUAUGUUAUAUAUUUAAAUAUAUAUAUUUAAAAUAUUAUAUAAAUGUUACAUAUAUUAUAUAUAUAUAUUUUUGUAUAUGGCUUUAUGUGAGGAAAGGUGCUAAGUUCUCUAACACACCCUUCAAAGACCAUCUCAAAAGUCACUCUUUCCAUUAAGAUUUUCCUGAUUUCCUACCCCCAUUCCUCAAGAUGUAAACAGUAUUUUUUUUCUGACCUCCCGUAACUAUUUAUUCCAUCAUUAAGACUCUUCUUGUUUUGCCUAGAAAUAUAGUUCUUUUACUGUUAAUGUCUACUUGGCAACUUAUUAGAAUCUAAAUCCCUUGAGAGCAUGAUCUAAUUUGAUUAACUUUUGUAUUCAGUAUAGUGGUGAGUUCAGUGUAUAGCAAAUAUUCUCAGAUUCUUAAGAGUUAGACAUUUUCUCUUCUGUAAUUCCCAUGUUGUAUAUAUCGCUUAUGUACACAGCAUAGUAAUUUAUUCACUAUUUAUCUCCUAAUACUGGAGACAUAUUUGGACAAAAAUGCCAUAUCUUGUGUAUCUUUAGUUCCUGGAGAUUUUUAAAUGCUCAUAAAUAUAUCUUUUAUGAGGAAACGCACUUAGUAUUUCUUCAAUGAAUGGAUGAGUAAAUGGCAUAGCAAAAAAAGGAAGACAGGCUUAAGUUUGAAAACAAGCUCUGCCACUUGUGACACGGAUAUAGCAUUCAAAGUCUAAGUGUCCUCAUUUCUAACGUAGGAAGAAUUCACUUACUGCUAGUCUGACCUCUUUUAAUGCACUUUGAAACUUUAGGGAUUGUAUACUAUUUAAGAUCUGUGAAGGUAAUAGAUAUUGAAAUUUCUUAUAAAAUUCUUCCCUAAGCAAUCAUUACUUUUGUUUUCAUUUUCUCUCAAUCACGCCUCCUUCAUCACCCUUGCAUUCUUUGUUACCACAUCAUUCUUGUUGUAUCCCUUUUCUCAAUUCUACUAAUUGCUAAACCAAGAAAACAUCUUUGUUACCCUUUGAUACAAGUAAUGGAAUUCUUGCUGCAUCUUUUGGGAUCUUGGUGUAUCUGUGUGUAUGGGUGGGGAGGGGUUGGAGGUUCAGGUCUGUGGGUAGGUAAUGUAAAUAUAAAGACUGAAGUAUACCUUUUAGUAUACCUUUAGAAAACUAUACCUUUUUUUAUACCUUUUAGAAGUACACCUUUUAGAGCAUUCUAACCCCAGAUCCUCACAUCAGGAAAACUAUAUAUAAAUUGGAAUAUUUUACAAAUAUUUAUAAGUUAGAAUAUAAUUAGAAUAUUUUACACUGCUUUCCUAAUGACUUACAUUAUAAUCCUAACAAGUCUCAAUGCUAGUACAUUGAAUAAUACCUUUAAAAAUUUGUUGCAAAGGAUGAGUUUUAAGCAGUACAUAGGAGUGGCCACUGUCUCUUGAAAAAGCUAAGGGAUUAACUAAACACCUGUUACAUUUUACAGAAUUUUCUCGUCUAAAGCUGAGUAUUCUGUAUGGACACUUGUUACACUCACUAUAUCACUUUUCAACUAAGAUUUAUACAUGAAUUCUAAAAUAUUUUAACUUC